GUAACGUCUUGUCUCAAAACAAAACCAACAUCAAAAACAAACCAGCACAAAGCAAGAAUAAAUGGGCCGAGUGCUCAGCUUGUCAUCCCCCAGUUUCACUGCCCGGAGCUAACUAGUACCUGGUGGGUGAACAGUGUCUGGAAAACACAGGAGCAGUUGCUGCAGUGUGUUCCCAAUAUUCUCAUUACUGAUGACAUCUACUCAGCAGCAGCUGCGGUACAAGGAACAAAAUGUUCUUGCCUUGUGGGCUUGCAGCCUAAGUGGCAGAAAACAAAGCAAACAACGGGCAGCUUUUCUGAGCACGGACGUGGGUGUGCACGGACGUGGGUGAGCAUGGACGUGGGCGUGUUAUGGUGCUGUGCUAAGGCCUGGAGAAAUAGCAACUUCCUGGACUUUUACCAAGAACAGCUGGAAUUACUUCUCAUUUUAAAGAUAAGUGAGAGAGACAGACAUAAGGACUUUCCCAGUGUCAGCACUGUGUGGACAGCUCUGCCUGGAGCACCCGCCUUUUCUUGUGCUCUGUCAGGUGUGGCUGGGUAGAGGUGUUUGCCUUGUUAUUUCCAUACUAGGAGGAGAAUGGGUGAAAAGACUGCAAGCAAGACCGGUCCGUAAUGGUUCCUUUGUCCUAGUCUGGAGGCUGGAAGGAGUCGGCCAGCAUCGUCCCCACUACAUGAGACAGAGCCUCGAUUAGGAUUCCUAGAAAAUCUGUCUUCGACAAGCACCCAGCACCUACAACCACAGGCCACGCCCACCCACCAGAGACCGGCCCUCAGCCUGGAAGCCCUGCUGACCCUGAAGCCCCGCCCAGUCACCCACCCCC